rnacentral:lncRNA from 1 species
UCCCGAGGUGGCAAGAUGGGAGAGAGCAUCAAUCCGAGCAUUUUUUGACCUGGCUAUCUAUUGAACCUUCAGAGUUUGGAAAGCUACUGACAUCUCCUUAACCUUUUGCAAGUACUUUACCAUUGUUAAGCCUCAAGCUUCAUAUUCACCUUGGACUUAUCUGGCGACGAGCUAUGAGUCAAUGAAGAAUUUGAUGUUUUACACCC